AAUUAAUACAGGUUAUAGGAACAUAAAUCUUCUUCCACGAAAAGAUAGCUUAAACUGUGUUCUAAAUGGAGGUGUAGUCAAAUCCUAUUUUAUGGACUCAACCAUGUUCUAAAAUAAGUCGAAACGUAAGCUACAAUAAAUCGGCAGGAGUAUUCCGACAACCCAAUAUUUUGGAGUGGCAGACGAAA